CUGAAGAAGUAUUUGAAACGGAUAGGCAAUAUUUAUAUAUUGACAGCAAGUGCCACAGAAAAUUACCGCCUUAGCAAUAGGGUAAGGGUGAAAAUGUGAGGUAAGAGCUCACGGUAACAGGUGGUAACACUUGUUGUGGGUAAACCUUGGGUACUGUAAUGCCAUGUAAAGGAUUGUUCGAGAGUUGCUCGUUCUCGUUUCCAAUUUAUUGGAACGCAAUCCAGGGUAGGCAGCAAGAUCGCAAUAGUAAUGUUGCGGCUAGAUAAAUGAUGGAGUUGAAACAGAAUCCGGCUUACGAGGUUUAUGGUAUU
rnacentral:RNase_P_RNA from 1 species